GAUGAAGACGUAGCGAAAUGCGAUAAGUAAUGCGAAUUGCAGAAUUCAGUGAAUCAUCGAAUCUUUGAACGCACAUUGCGCCCGCCAGUAUUCUGGCGGGCAUGCCUGUCUGAGCGUCGUUUCGACCCUCGCGCCCGGCUUCUGUCGGGGGCGGUGUUGGGGAUCGGCCACACCCUUCAGUGGGAGGCCGGCCCCUAAAUUCAGUGGCGACCACGCUGUAGCCUCCCCUGCGUAGUACUAAAACCACCUCGCAGGCGGAGAGCGGUGCGGCCCGCCGUAAAACCCCCCAACUUUUACAAGGUCGACCUCAGAUCAGGUAGGAAUACCCGCUGAACUUAAGCAUAUCAAUAAGCGGAGGA
rnacentral:misc_RNA from 1 species